rnacentral:rRNA from 1 species
CCUACUGGAGGCAGCAGUGAGGAAUAUUGGUCAAUGGGCGCUAGCCUGAACCAGCCAAGUAGCGUGAAGGAUGACUGCCCUACGGGUUGUAAACUUCUUUUAUAAAAGAAUAAAGUGAAGUAAGUAUACCUUUUUGUAUGUACUUUAUGAAUAAGGAUCGGCUAACUCCGUGCCAGCAGCCGCGGUAAUACGGAGGAUCCGAGCGUUAUCCGGAUUUAUUGGGUUUAAAGGGAGCGUAGAUGGGCUGUUAAGUCAGUUGUGAAAGUUUGCGGCUCAACCGUAAAAGUGCAAUUGAUACUGGCAGUCUUGAGUACAGUAGAGGUAGGCGGAAUUCGUGGUGUAGCGGUGAAAUGCUUAGAUAUCACGAAGAACUCCGAUUGCGAAGGCAGCUUACUAAACUGCAACUGACACUGAUGCUCGAAAGUGUGGGUAUCAAACAGGAUUAGAUACCCGAGUAGUC